GAGGCACUGCACGGAAGCAUCUGAACACAGUGUGGGCGGUAGCAGCCUCUGGCUCCCCACUUGGGCACCCUCUUCUUCCCCUCACCCUGAGGAAGCAGCUGCCGUGUUGUGAGCUGCUGCAUGAAGACAUCCACGUGGCACUGAAUCCAGCCACAGCCACGUGAGUGAGCUUGAGAGUGGAUCCCCGGCUCCCCCGGUGAACCUUCACACAGGACCACAGCCCUGGUACCAGCUCAACUGUGCCUCAUGAGAGACCUGGACUCAGAGCAUCCAGCCAAGCCUUGGAUUCGUAAUCCACAAAAACUACUAUAGGGAGGGAGGUCUCCUGAGGUCAUGCGGGCAGGGUGCUCACUUGGCUACACUGAACUCAGCGAGGCAGAGAGAAAUAGAAGCAUCUGAGAGAGAUCACGGCGGCAGAAUGAGCCAGUGCUGUUGGCCGGUUGGGUGCAGGCAAUCCCUAUGCAGCCAGCUGGGCCCUUCUGGCUGCUGGGACCACCACCUCCGUGCCAGUAGAGUGGCUCCAGGAUGGAUCAGCUCCCUGACCACUGCAGAGCUGUCCACCCGGGGACAGGAACACAUGGUGGAGAUGGGAGUCUGGAUUGUGUCUUCCAUUAGGGCCAGUUCUUGCCGAGACCUCCCCAGGGCUUACCGGGCACCAGCAGGCGGUAGUUGUGCUGGAAGCUGCAGGCCAGCCGCCGGGUGAGCAACAUGGAGGCCAUGGUCACCUCCACCGGCAACAGAGACCCCUGUCACACGCUCCUGCCCUGAAAGAAAACAGAAGCACAGAGUCACGCCAACAAAGACCACACCCUUGCUGGCCAAGUAUCCCACUCCCCACAGUUUCCCCACACAGUGGAGAAGUUUCUUCUAAUA